rnacentral:rRNA from 1 species
AAUACGACCGUACCGCAAACCGACACUGGUGCGCGAGAUGAGUAUUCUAAGGCGCUUGAGAGAACUCAGGAGAAGGAACUCGGCAAAUUGACACCGUAACUUCGGAAGAAGGUGUGCCCUAUUAGUGUGUAGUGAACAACGAAGCAUGAAUGGGUUGCAAAAAAUCGGUGGCUGCGACUGUUUAUUAAAAACACAGCACUCUGCAAACACGAAAGUGGACGUAUAGGUGUGACGCCUGCCCGGUGCUGGAAGAUUAAAUGAUGGGGUGCAAGCUCUUGAUUGAAGUCCCAGUAAACGGCGGCCGUAACAAUAACGGUCCUAAGGUAGCGAAAUUCCUUGUCGGGUAAGUUCCGACCUGCACGAAUGGCGUAACGAUGGCCACACUGUCUCCUCCUGAGACUCAGCGAAGUUGAAAUGUUUGUGAUGAUGCAAUCUCCCCGCGGAAAGACGGAAAGACCCCAUGAACCUUUACUGUAGCUUUGUAUUGGACUUUGAACAGAUCUGUGUAGGAUAGGUGGGAGGCUUUGAAGCAGGGUCGCUAGAUCUUGUGGAGCCAACGUUGAAAUACCACCCUGGUGUGUUUGAGGUUCUAACCUAGGUCCAUUAUCUGGAUCGGGGACAGUGCAUGGUAGGCAGUUUGACUGGGGCGGUCUCCUCCCAAAGCGUAACGGAGGAGUUCGAAGGUACGCUAGUUACGGUCGGACAUCGUGACGAUAGUGCAAUGGCAUAAGCGUGCUUAACUGCGAGACUGACAAGUCGAGCAGAUGCGAAAGCAGGACAUAGUGAUCCGGUGGUUCUGUAUGGAAGGGCCAUCGCUCAACGGAUAAAAGGUACUCUGGGGAUAACAGGCUGAUACCGCCCAAGAGUUCAUAUCGACGGCGGUGUUUGGCACCUCGAUGUCGGCUCAUCUCAUCCUGGGGCUGUAGCCGGUCCCAAGGGUAUGGCUGUUCGCCAUUUAAAGAGGUACGUGAGCUGGGUUUAAAACGUCGUGAGACAGUUUGGUCCCUAUCUUCCGUGGGCGCUGCAGAUUUGAGGAAGCCUGCUCCUAGUACGAGAGGACCGGAGUGGACACACCUCUGGUGUAUCGGUUGUCACGCCAGUGGCAUUGCCGAGUAGCUAAGUGUGGAAGAGAUAACCGCUGAAAGCAUCUAAGCGGGAAACUCGUUUCAAGAUGAGAUCUGCCGGGGCCUUGAGCCCCCUAAAGAGUCGUUCAAGACCAGGACGUUGAUAGGUCAGGUGUGGAAGC